UCACCAAGCGCGGAGCCAAAUCCCUAAUUCCCCUUCCUCGUUCACCACGCAUGCCGCCAAGGGUUCUCUGCCGCCGGCUUCUCCGCGUGCCACCGCGCCAUUCUGCCGCUCCCGCGCGACCCUGCUAGGUUGCCGCCCCACACCGCCUGCCGCCACAUGCUCGAACCCUCUCCUCUGCUCCGCUGCUCUCCCCUGACCACAAGAACUCUUGCGUCGUCGCCAUCAUGGCGUGCGCCGGGCAGAUCCCGUGGGAGAUGGGGUUCAAACUGCUGCAGAGGGACGUUGCCCUGCACUACAAGACUGUGGCGGCCGUGCUGAAGCACUCUCGCCUACCUCACCUUGAUCCUUUCAGGGUUGGGUUCCAGGCGAGCGGGGUCAUCUGCUCCGGUACCAACCUCGACGCCUCUAGGUUCUGGUUCCUCAUCAACGAGCCCCCCGCCAUCAACGUGCAGGACGUGCAGGUAACUUACUAGACCCGAAUCCAUCCAAGAAUCGAUUGGCCUCUUGCUCUCUCGAUAAAAAUUUCUCAGGUUCAUAGAAAUACUUUAGGAGUAUUUGUUUUUUUCAAAAGUCUAACUUGUUACUAGUUUGUUCGAUACCUUCCAGAAGAAGGUAGCAUAUGUAACAGGCCUUCUAGGUACUCUUCACGUACAGAUUUUCUCAUAGAAAAUUCUUGAUUUCCAUAGAUAUUUCCCGUUGAUAUAUCAUUAAGCAUUAGUACUAUAUAUUGAUUACAAAAGAUGUUUUUUGUCCUGCCUACACUCAUGUUUAAUUUCUGCAUAGUUUGUUUCCUUACUUCCUUUCUCAUGUAACUAUUAUGUUGUUAUUCUACAUUCUGCAUAGUACUAAUCAGAUUCAAGGCAGUAGUUAUAUCAUUGAUUAGUUGUUGCAAUUUCUGCUACAUAUAUAUGUAGAUUUGUGAAAGUAUUUCUAAAUAUUUUAUCAGGUUUAAUGGAAGAAAUCCUACAAAUGAAAUAGCAAUGUUAGGCAAGGUGUGGGGGACGUCCUGCUUCCUUCUCUGUUCAAUUUACACUGCUUCCAGUGUCCUCACAUAAUAAAUCUAAUUAAAUGAAGUCGGUAUAUUACUAUUUCUUCUGGACCAAAGGAUGUCCAUGUUGUGCAUAUUGAUCUGCAAUAGCAUGUCCUUAAUCGAAAUUCCAUGUAUAGUAUUUGUUAAAAGAUGGAAAUAGCAGGAUCUUUGUUGCAAUGUUUUAUAGUUUCGUACAUUCAUUUAUCAGAGAUAAUACUGCUUGAAACUAUUCUAACUCAACUGAGAGUUAAUGAAUUUUAACUAGGAGUGUUGUGCUGCAGGAUUCCCAUCCCACCACAAUGCCCCCUUCAACCCCGAACCAGUUUACUGAUGCGCCUCCACAACCUUAUGGGUUGCCACCGUCCGUGCAGCAGCUAGCAGCAGGGCCCAUUGUCGUUGCUCCGCAGUCCAGGUUGAUCUGCUUCCUGCUGUUUCUACUAUCGCUGAAACCAACUAGGACUUACUGGCCUCAAAACACCAAGGUUGGUUGGGCAAUCUGGUGCUUAUCUGCUGGGAUUUUGAAUUUAAUGUGUGAAAUUUCUGGUAGCUAUUUGGGGCCAUGUAGGGUAUGAUAUAAAUCUCAGAUUUUCUUGGUUAAUUAGUCGCAAUUGUUAGUUUGUUAAUGGCUUCAUGUAUGCAGCUCAAGCCUCACUUCAUCAGGUAAAAUGUCAACCUAAAAAUCAUCCAGGCAGCAGGAUACUUCCCCAAGAGCACCAAUUGCAGUAAACAACUUUGGCUGAUGCUCACGACAGGCUGUGACGCCGUGUGGUGGUGUCGAGCAUUGGGGGUAGAUGUUCAAGCUGGAGGAUUUUCUCCAAUGAGAUGUAGAAUGAAGGCUUUGAUUUCAAGCACGAGAAUGAUGGAAGGAUGUUGGUGGAAGGCUGAGGAUGGGUAUGUAGUUGCCCACUACAAGGAGCCAAGGCAGAUGAUGUGCCUCUUAGACAAAUUCUAGAAAACAAUGCAAGGAAUUUUUGCUCUUGGACAAUGAACCAUAAUGUCUGAUAUAUUUCAUUAGUUGCAUUAGUUUAUAGGAAACUUGGAUGGUCACUGGUUCAUAACAGAUGAACUAUCUAUAUGUGAAAAUUAAUGAAUUUGUGUUUUUA